rnacentral:misc_RNA from 1 species
GGAAGUAAAAGUCGUAAUAAGGUUUCCGUAGGUGAACCUGCGGAAGGAUCAUUAUUGUAUAACCGAGGUGCGAGGGCUGUCGCUGACCCGAAAGGUCGUGCACGCCCGAGUGCCCUCACACACAUCCAUCUCACCCCUAUGUGCACCACCGCGUGGGUCCCCCUUUGGCUUGUUCGGAGGGGGGCUUACGUUUUCACACAAACUUUGUAUGCAGUGUAGAAUGUAUUUUUUGCUUUUGCGAUCACGCAAUCAAUACAACUUUCAACAACGGAUCUCUUGGCUCUC